GCUGCCAGUGGAGAAUUGGGACCCCAAGCCAGGAUAGAUUUUUUUUGACCCAACCAAGGGCAUCUGGAGAUCCCAGCCAUCGCAUGAAGAAGUCUAGGCUAUCCUGCUGGAGAGACCACAUGGAAGAGAACUGAGGCACCCCAGCUGCCAGCCAGCAUGAACUGCCAGCCAUGUCAGUGAGCCUUCCUGGAAGAGCCUUCUCUCCAGUCCCAAUCAAGACUUGAGAUGAUAUAGCCCUGGCCAACACCUUGACUGCAAUCUCAUGACAGACCUUGAGCUAGAAGCACCCAGCUAAGCUGUUCCUGGAUGCCUGAUCCUCGGAAGCUGUGAUGUAAUAAAUGUUUAUUGUAAA